rnacentral:ncRNA from 1 species
ACAAUGAAGAGUUUGAUCCUGGCUCAGGAUGAACGCUAGCGAUAGGCUUAACACAUGCAAGUCGAGGGGCAGCAUGGUCUUAGCUUGCUAAGAC